GAAAAGGAGGCAUGUAAUGACGUAACAAUGACCAGGUUACCUGAUAAACACCCGGAGAACCGUCCCGACAGAACCAACUAAACAGCUCCCGAGCAGAUACCUCAAAACCUACAUACCCGAACACGCGGAAGUGGGGUAUUUAUCUACCAAUACCCGUCCCUCAUUGGCUGAUGAGUGAGCACAGAACCGACUCCACUCUUACAACCUGCACCUGUGCCCAGCCCAACACCAGCAAAGCCAGAGCAAGCCCUUGGAUGGCAGAUAUUAAGAAUUCAACAGAGACAACUAGAACUGAUGAAAGCAUGAACAAUAUGAUGCCAAUCCAAUGGUUUUGCCCAAGAUAAUUAAGAAUAACCCCGUGAUACUUAUCAUGACUCCACAGGAAUUCAAACAGAUAUUUGUAUACCUAUUCCCAGAGGAAGCGCAAAGAAAAGUUUUGAUAGAACAAAAAACUUAUCCAGUCUUGGCAUUGUACCCACUCUACCUAUGAGGAGACCAACACCCAGAGAAACAGAGGUUGCACUUAGACGGCACGUGUAAAGGCACAAGAGGCAGGAAGAAACACCGCACAGAGGAAGGAGCUUCACCAACUCCACCCCUUCAGCAGCACCUGUCACCCUAAUGGCCCUGGGUCCUCUCUUAAUAAAAUUAAACU